UACGGAGGAUCCAAGCGUUAUCCGGAUUUAUUGGGUUUAAAGGGUGCGUAGGCGGAAUUGUAAGUCAGUGGUGAAAGCCCUUCGCUUAACGAAGGAACUGCCAUUGAUACUGCAAAUCUUGAGUACAUUUGAUGUGGGCGGAAUGUGUCAUGUAGCGGUGAAAUGCUUAGAUAUGACACAGAACACCGAUUGCGAAAGGCAGCUCACAAAACUGU
rnacentral:rRNA from 1 species